GUUUAUUGCAAAAGUGCAUAUUAAAAUUCCCAAAUGAGCUUUUAUACUUUCAGAAAUAAAAAGAUAGAAUACGAGAUUAAUUGAAAUUAAAAUUUUAAUAGUUUGAGAGCCCUAGUUUGAAUAUAAUACACUAGACUUAAAUCUGGUUGAUCUAAGGAAAGCAGGAAUUAGCUCACUAACAACUUGUGCUAAUUGUAGGUCUAGGAAUCACCAGUUAGCAGAAACAAAAGUUAAAAGUUAAAAUGGAACUUAAAGCUGUUUGGUAAAAGUACAACCCGGUUGAUUAGACAGAUUUUAUCAGCCCUACGUCUAGUCAAGCAUCAGUUUUACAGUUAUCCUCAGAUGGAGUUGCUGAUGUUUAAGAAUUUAUGAAGAAUGUUACUGGUUUAAAUCGUUUUACUACAGAAGUUAAACUUUGCAGAGGGACAGAAAUCAACAGGAACAAAAAGGAUUUGGAAAAAUUAAAGGGCAGAUCCCAAAGGAUUUUUUUUUUUAUGUAAACACGUUCUCUAAAUUAGAUAAUUUGACUAAAGGUACACAUGGUUGUGUGCCCUCUUCUGCUGCAAAUUAUAUUGAAAAUGAUGCUUAAACGUUCCAUAUGCCAGAUGUAACUUUGUUUUCUUUACUAAUUUCUUACUUGGAAGAUGGAGUUAUAAAACAUUCUCCCUUAACACACACCAGCAGUGGUUCUUAAUUUGACUGGGGCCCACAACAGCCGUGAAUUAUUCAGAAAAAUGGUUUUAAAGGGUUUGUCCUCUUCAGUAUUACAGCUGAUUGUGAUUAUGCUCGCUGGGACAAAACAUUUGGUACAUAAUUUUCCAAUGUGGCUCAGGAUGGGGAGAGAAAGAGUAAAUAAUAAUAAAAAAAGUAUUACAAGAUCUAAUAUUUAAAUUGCAAUUACAAGGAACAAAACAGAAAGCUUGCCUAUUGCCUCCUUUUCUCUAUUCUUUAUUUAUUUACAGGUCUGUUGAUUGCUGAACGUGGAAGCAGAUGGCUUGGCGGUCAGUGUGGCGUCGAGUAUUGAACCCAGGGCGUGAUGGAUGAGUGUUUGGAGCUGAUAUGCUGGACAUGUUAAAGCACCCAUCGACAUACAAUCGUGAUUGUCCUGGACAAUGAACACCUGUGGGCUGUUUCACCCCACCAGCAGGUCAACCUGGUAUGAAGCAACCAAGUCCUGACAUGACCUCACCUCGUCAAGGUCAGUACCCCUGCAAGGGGAUAACUCGUCUGAUGACACACCCCUGAGCAUGGCCAGCUGCAUGAGCACUACAGACUCCGAGCUGUCAGCAGAAAAGACUGCAUGAACUUUUGGUGGACACUGGAGACACAUAUGGGCCUCUGAGUUGUGGACUAAGACUGUCACUGAAUAUGAUACUGAGAGAAGAAACAGUGUCUGCCGUUGUGACCUGAGGGGGAGAAAGCAUUGCUAGCAUCUAAUUUAUAACGAUAUAUGAUGUCGGAUGAAACGAUUUCACACAUUUCUCUUUCUCUCCAUGUUGAGCACCAGAAAGAAGUAGGGGCGUGGUUAAACAUUCCCUUCAGGCAACUGAUUGGGCUCCUACCAGCGUGCAGGUUUGUUGUUUUAAAAUAUACUCAUACCUUUUAAAUUAUCUGUGAUGUAACUGAUAAGUUUAUUUCAAACAUGAGUUUGAAGUGUUACCAUGGCCGGGAAAGUACUGAUCAUCAUUAAUCAGCAGAAGGUCCACGGAGGUGGGAAUACUUUCAUGUGUUCCACUUACAUUUAAGGUUAGUAAAGAUAAAAUAGCAAUUUGCCAAGGAACGUCUCUUUCCUGGGCUGAGUUAUUUUCCGCAGGAACAACCAAUGCGUCCUCCAAUAACAAGCAAAGCGUUCUAACAAACCCAAACUACAGCGCGUGGAAGACACAUUAUAGUUUUGGGACUAAAUGGCUGCUGUGACAACUACAUGGUGGCUACGUUGAUCUCACGCAACCUUUGAGGGACUUCGUGAAAAUAUCAGGUAUGAUAAAGUUGAAUAAGAUUUUGAUUUGGAUUCAGGAUUCGAGGAAAUUUUUAUUUUCUUUCUUCCUACUUAACCAAAGAUUACCCUAUGCAGUUGAAUUGACUAUUAUUGACGUCUUCUUAUGUAAUGAUUCUGCAAAACACAGUUAUUCCUUUAAACUGGAUUUAAUGGAAGACAGGUGAACAUGAACAGGAUCCAAAUAGAGGUAAGGCAGACAUCCAAACAAGCUGGACGGGAACUGGCGAACACACUGGGCAGAGUAAACAGAAACAGGUAAUCCAAAACAGAAUCAAGGUGCCGGGGCUCUUACCAAAACAGAGAGUGUAAACGAGGAGGAACAGGAGCACGGGCAUGUGAGUGUGACGGACCAACAAAUAACUGAGGAGCAAGUGAGGCUUAAAUAAACAGGCGAACAGGUGAGCAGAGGGAACUAAUUAACCAUAGGACGGUGGAAGCAAUAACGAUGCUGACAGAAGAAUAAACCUAAGACUGAGGAUAACACAAAGCACAGAAC